rnacentral:lncRNA from 1 species
UUUCAUUUGUUUUAGUGACAAGACUUUGUCAGGCUAAGUAUGGCUGUCCAAUGGCGGGAGGGGAGGCAAAUAAUGUCUGCCAGUGGUAACCAGGAAAAAAAAUCAUUGUGGGAUAUUCAGUAACAGCAAUGUUUAAGAUAGGAUACGCAGACGUAAAGAAGAGAUUCCACGUAUUUAUUAAUGAAGCUGUCAAACUGUGCACACCUCCAUUGCCCUGAGAAUCUCUUUAGGGUAAUGUGUAUACAGCCGUGUCAGGUCAUGCACCCCACCUAGCAGAUCGCCCUGACCUAUUAAGCCCCUGCACUAUUGCAAACAAGGGCCAUGAGGUGGUGGAGAGACUCAGACCAGCUGUUAAGAAGGUGUGAAUGCUCUGGGGUGGUGCCAAAGUUGACCACUCCCUCCAGCCUGUCCAUGCGAGCCACCACAGUGCCUGACACUACCAGCUGACACAGGAACUCUUCACUCUCCUGAAAUAACACAUGUUUUUUUUUAAAUGUGAAGCAAAAUCUAUAAUUGUGAAGUCUUGUGUGAUCAUUAGUGAAGUAUGUAUUGAUUACUGUAAAACUGGCAUUGAGUUUAGUUGCAUGGCUCCAGCAUGAGAGAAUGUACUGGCCAAGCACACAAGGCAUUUUGCUAAAAGUAGAUCUUAGGCCAAGGGACAUAAAUAGAUUUUGCUGACUGUAAUAUACUUUAAAGUAUGUCCUUAUGAUGAUAUGCUUUGUCCUUCAGUCAGUUUCUUGCCAAAGCAUUUCUUUACAUCCUGUUCCAGAAAGACUCAGAUACUAUAUUGCAUUCUGCAUAUUAUUACUGGUUUUCAAAAGGCAUCAGCAUGAUCUUUACCUUGAGGAACAGCUGUAAGUCAUGAGGAGACACAUCUGGAGGAAACAGGAGCUAGGCUAAUCUAGAAAAUUCGGUGCUUGGUCAAGAAUCUUGAAUGAGGUUGUUUUUAUGAGGCAACUGGUAUUCUAUGAUUUGCACUUUAUCAUCCAUAAACUUUGGUCAUGCACCAAAUUUUUUUGGCUUGUUAAGCCUCUAUUCUCCUGAUAUGUAUCCUUGUGAUUUUUCGUUGUUCUAAUAUUAAUUAAAAUGAAGCUGCUGCGUAUCUUUUAUAAAGAGUACUACAUUAUACAAAAUAAAAACAAGUAGUCUUUCUGGAACAAGAUUUAAAGAAAACUGUUUAUAUAGCAAUGGACACACUGCUGGACUAAGUGUGUGAACUCACUUUGAUUGACAUGAGAGAGAGCUAGAACACAAAAAGUGAAACUUGAGAGGGUAUGUAUACCAAGCAAUGUUUGAAAUGCACUGUGCUUCUGCUACCUUCACUCUCAGAAAACUGUCUCUACAUCUAGGUGCAAAAAACGUACAUCUAGGUGCAAAAAACGAAGACAAUUUACACCACUCCUAUAGUUUACUAGGUUUUGCUUGAGUACUACUUUGAAUAUCAAUGUUGUGUGACAGGUACAGUGCCCUCUGUGAACAUUUUCACUUAGUUGAAGAACACUGCAAUGUGGCAUGUCAAUGAAGUAGCCAGUCUGUAGAUCUUAAGAUUGCAUAAGACAUUGUGAGGAGGGUGAGGAGUGCUUCAAAGUGCUGUGUGUGGGUUGAAAAGGAUAAACUACUCUGACUGGCACUCAAAAGCCUAGGUUAAUGAAAGCAUUUCUCAAACCUGUAAAGAUCCUGACAGCUUUGCUCUGUAACCUCUGGAAGAUCUUGUCAGUUAUAUUUGUUUUAUGUGCCACGUCUUAUCAGAUUAGAAUAUGUGGUAUUAUUGGCCAUACAGAGCACCGUGUCUCAACCAAACAACGCUUGGUUGAGACAAGGUGCUGUGUGGCCAAUAAUACUACAUAUUCUAAUCUGAUAAGACGUGGCACAUAAAACAAAUAUAACUGACAAGAUCUUUCAGAGGUUACAGAGCAAAGCUGUCAGGAUCUUUACAGGUUUGAGAAAUGCUUUCAUUAACCUAGGCUUUUUUGAGUGCCAGUCAGAGUGGUUUAUCCUUUUCAACCUACACACAACACUUUUGAAGUACUCCUUCCUCACAAUGUCUUAUGCAAUCUUAAGAUCUACAGACUGGCUACUUCAUUGACAUGCCAUAUUAUAGUGUUCAACUGAGUGAAAAUGUUCAUAGAGGGAGGGCACUGUACCUGUCACACUCCACUAAAUAUUCAUCAAAAGGCAAAUCGUCUUAUUAAUAUAUACUGCACCUAGAUGUAGUAAAACAGCUUUCUGAAUGUUGGUAGGAAGGGUAAAUAAAGAUUUAGGACCAGGCUCAUGGACUAUUGUACUCUAAGAGGAUAUUUGUGGGUGUAUUAGCAUCAUCACAUGUGAUCUAAAGAACUCUCAACAACAAGAAUGUGUAGCACAAGCUGGCAACUUGCCACUUCUUGUUCUGAAAAAUUACUAAAUAGAAACAUUAUUUAAC